rnacentral:rRNA from 1 species
GACGAACGCUGGCGGCGUGCCUAACACAUGCAAGUCGAACGGAAAGGCCCUGCUUUUGCGGGGUGCUCGAUUGCCGAACGGGUGAGUAACACGUGAGUAACCUGCCCUUGACUUUGUGAUAACUUCAGGAAACUCGGGCUAAUACCGGAUAGGAUCUCCUGCUGCAUGGUGGGGGUUGGAAAGUUUCGGCGGUUGGGGAUGGUCUCGCGGCUUAUCAGCUUGUUGGUGGGGUAGGGGCUUACCAAGGCUUCGCCGGGUAGCCGGCCUGAGAGGGUGACCGGCCACAUUGGGACUGAGAUACGGCCCAGACUGCUACGGGAGGCAGCAGUGGGGAGUAUUACACAAUGGGCGGGAGCCAGAUGCAGCAGCGCCGCGUGCGGGAUGACGGGCUUCGGGUUGUAAACCGCUGUCGCCUGAGACGAGGAGUGAGUGACGGUAAUGGGUAAAGAAGCACCGGCUAACUACGUG